GUUACACGGAGCAGGGGAGGGGCAGGCGGCAGGGGUAAUUAAUUUCUCCUGAAGGUUUAUCACCCCGCCGUGUAUUUCCUUGUCGCAUGUAAAAAUGUAGGCACGGGCUCAAUUAAGACUGAUGUCCCAGUGCCAACCAUGCUUGUCUUUUAAUCACGCCCUCUGCAUAUUGAUUUUGACAUCUUGGUUUAAUCACAGGCCAUUUCACUGCCGUCGUGGAAUCCCUGUGCAAUUCGCGGGGCUUCUCCAGUCUCCCGGAGUCUGGGGACGGGACCAAAGACAGCGCUCAGCUGGCAGCCCCCCCCCCCUCCAUGGCUGGGUUUCUGCGCGGCAAGGGCGCGACGGUCCUGCUGCAGGGUGGCGGGGAAAGGCAGCAGCUGGAGGCCUGCCGGUCGGGGUGGGGGGGGGUGCUCGCGUAGGAGGUGUGGGCAGAGGACUCCAGCAGGACGGGAACACGCGCAAUCACGAGAAGGGAAAGAUUGACAAGACAGGAAGUUUCGCUGGCGGCUGUCCCUGGAGUCUGUGAGAGGGAGGGACCCUGGCCAUGGCAAGGGCACAAGGCCCCCCGAAGUGCUGUGUAACCAGCAAAGGGGUUACACCUCCUCCUCAGCUGGGGGCCGUGGAUAGGGGCGGUGGUGGCUCAGUGGCUCCUCUCUGGGCCCCUGCGAUUACUCCCUCCACCACCUCUGAGGUCCUGCCUGCUAAACCUCACCAGCAGUGAGGAUUUCCGACCAUCCUCACCCCGGGUGGUGACAAUCAGAUGAAUGACGACAAUAUCCUCGUCUACAGACGAGGAGACAGGCUUAGCCAGGUCAGGAAAUUCGCUCAAGGUCAUAUACUGGUAAGUGGUAGGGUUGGGAUUUGAAAGGGGCCUGGCCUCAGAGCCCUGACUCGUAACCACUGUGAUAGUCCCCCUGGUUUUUCCUGCUCUUAGGGUCACUGGCCCCUUCUCAGAUCCCCAUAGUGAUGACAGCUAUAGUAAUUCCCCACCCACCCCCAUUUCCCCAGUGAGGACAGGCCCAGCAUUUGCUGUCCCCAGUCUGAGAGCCAGUACUGGCUUUCCAGAAGACCAUCUCGUGUCAAGACAGUAUACAGACGUUUGCCAAGUCUGAGCGCUAAUUUCCCCGCACAUUCUGAGCAGGGGCAAGUUCAUCAUUAAAGAUGCCCCCAGAGGUACGGUUUGAAUGGGGGUUCGUUUAAAAGCGCCCGCUCUGACCUCUGCAGACUAGGCGUCCGGCCCCUCAGAUUCCACUGAGUUCCAGGCGGGGCUGGGUGCAGGGUGAGGACUUACUCUUUCGAUCCCCACAAUUGUCUGUUAUUACCGUCCGCAGUUCUGCAUAGGGAAGUAGGCUCAGAGCCGUCAUUUAAGUUAAUUAGUAGGUGAGAGAGCUGAGGUUUGAACCCAGGGUCCGUGCUCUAAACCACUAUUCUACACAGUCAAAACGACCCCCAGAUGCAACUGCAGGGACAUGUCUCCGUGGGUCCCACGGGGCCAGCUGGGAAGGGCGGGGUUGGCUGUAACUCAGAUUCCACUCCGAUGCCCUCUGUGCCUGGAGUGCCCUUCCUGGCCCCUCCUGCGAUGUGCUCCUUCUUCCUCUUCGGGCUGAGGUCGGACGUCCCUUCCUCGUUCCGAGUCCCCAUCCAAGCCCAUCCGUCCCUCGGCACUUCAGCCUGGUUAAAUGUCUUCCCAGCAUGCUUCAUGCUCCGGGUGUUGCUUUGAUUUCUUGCUCACUGGGUGUCUCCCCCAGGGUGCCGGGUCUGUGGGGGUAGGACUGGGGUCGGGGCUGCACCCCGGAGCCUGGAACUGGGACCGGCACAGGGCGGGUGCUCAGGGGUGCCUGUUGUAUGAACGCCACGCGUCGGAAGGAAUCCCCAACAUCGCCCUGUCCACCCUGCUCUCUCGACAGAGGAAAUGAAGGCAGGCGGGGGCUGGCGGAGCUGUGGCCCUGACCACCAGGCUGCACUGCCACACGAGCUCAUGCCUCGGAUGCACGUGACACAGGUCGUUGACCUUCCGACAACAGAGAAGUCGUCUGUCCCGUCCCAGCUCAGCCUCCAGAACCCACGCCAUGGGGUGGGCAUGGGCGGUGGUGGAAUAAUCACCUAGAAGAUUUGCUUCCCUUCCGCAUCCUGAGCUCGAACCAGGUGGCGCCCCGAGGAAGUGACAGUCAGUUACGCUAGAGAGAAGCGUGGGCAGUUUCAGCAGCGCGAUUUUCUGGCAAGAGGGAGCGAGGCGAGUUUGUGCCCAAGGAGUCUUGGUGGGGGAGUCUCUUUCUAAAACCGAACUGACUUUGCUCAUCCUGCCUGUUGCUUUCAUUGCAGAGGUGCCUGGAGACGGCGGGACGUGGGGGGAGCCCCAUCCCGGGGCGGCAGGUGCCGCAGGAUCCUCUGGGUCGGGGUCUUGGGGGGGAUGCCUGCGGGACCCAGGCCUGGAGCUCUGGCCUCUCAGCGGGCUGACCUCCAGAGAGGCUCUCGGCCUUGCCGAGUCUCCAUUUUCCUCAUCUCUGCAGCGAGAAGAAAGAUCUUGUCCUGUCGCCUUCUGGGAUUGUUGGGGGAAUCAUGUAACCUGGUGUCACAUGUGUGGUUGCUGCUCUAUGCCUGCAAGUUAUCCCAAAAUCUGCCGUGGAGUUUCCAAUUUAUGUGGAUGAAUUUUCUGUGUUGACCGGACCACGAGCUCCCUGAAUCCGGGCAGUGACUUUCCUUCUUCGUGUGGCCCGUACCAGGCACUGUGCCUGGAACAGAGUAAGUGUUCCAAGAAUGCUUGCUGGCUGGAUACCAGGAAUCCUCUCCUUUUCCCACAUUUGGUUAUAACUGUCUAAUUUGGGGGUGCUGAAUACUCAGUAAAUAGCACCCCCUUCUCUUUGCAGAAAUGGUGAGGGUUCCACGGGAUUCUCUGACAGGCUCAGGAGUAAGUGGCCUGGUGACCUGUGGAGGGCCUCUCCCAGCACUGGGACUGUGCCCCGGCUGACCCGCUCCCCUGCCUCCACUUUUCCCACUGGGUUUUAGAGGCCCUUUGGGUGUCAGAUUUGCAUGCAAACCCGGGUUCGUGGAAGCAAGUGGGGGCGUUUUGGGUUGUCACAGUUGCUAGGGAAAGGGCUGACCUACCGAGCUCGGCCGGGCAGGAGCCAGAGGUCCUGCAUAUCUUGCAACAUCUCCGACGGUGCCACGCAAUGAAAGUUACCCUGGACACGAUGCCAGUGUGCCCGCUGUUGAAACAGCCCAGGUGAGGCUCAACGCUCAGAGUCUGAAGCAGGUUAGGUCAUGGGAGGAUUGGCUUCACUUCCUCACUCCCCCGCCCUUCCCUUCUUCCCAAAUAUCAGAGUCCGUAGGGUUCACACCCAGAAAAGCUGGCUCUGGGACGACUGGCGGGCACGGUUUAGAGAAGCGUCUGGCCCUGACGUGCCAGCCAGCAUUGGUGCCAGGAGCAGCGAGUCCUGACAGAUCCGAGCUCCUCGGAUCCUUGGACGGAAUGUGCUGAGGGCUCGAAUUACCGUGAAGAGAGCAAGCCACACGCCUUUUGGCAACCCCUGGUGGCAGCGUGGUGAACCAGAGUGGAAAGCCGGAGACCGGUGAGGGAGCUGGUGCUCAUCCGGUGCUAUUCUGGAGACUUCUCCAGCAACUCGUCUCCUGGCUACCCCCCAUCUCAACCUCCAGCUCCUGGUAAACCUGACCUGGGACAGUGGUACAGUGAACGAGGGAAGAAAGAGUUGUGCGCGUGCGCUCCUGUAAGAGCGUGCAUGUAUGUAUACACACAUUUUAUAAGGUAAAAUUUGUAUACGGUAAACGCACAAAAUCUUAAAUAUACGGGGUGCUGAAUGUUGAAAUACGUAUUUAUCUUCAUAACCCCCACUCAGAUCAAAACAUGUAUUUCUGGGGCUCUGGGGAGGCUCAGUCAGUUGAGUGUCUGACUUCAGCUCAGGUCGUGAGCUCAGGGUUUGUGAAUUUGAGCCCCGCGUCAGGAUCUCUGCU